rnacentral:rRNA from 1 species
UCUCUGGAACUUGUUCCGGAUGGAUGUCAACGAUGUCAUACUUCCAAGAAAAGCUCGUACACUAUUAACACAAUAAUAACCUGUACCAGAAACCGACACAGGUAGGUAAGUAGAGAAUACUCAGGGGCGCGAGAGAACUCUCUCUAAGGAACUCGGCAAACUGGCCCCGUAACUUCGGAAGAAGGGGCGCCUGAGAAAUCAGGCCGCAGUGUCCAGGCUCAGGCGACUGUUUACCAAAAACACAGGUCUCCGCAAAGUCGUAAGACAAUAUAUGGGGGCUGACGCCUGCCCAGUGCCGGAAGGUGAAGGAAGUUGGUUAUUUUGAAUUUCAAGAGAAGCUGACGACCGAAGCCCCGGUGAACGGCGGCUGUAACGAUGACAGUCCUAAGGUAGCGAAAUUCAUUGUCGAGUAAGUUUCGACUUGCACGAAAGGCGUAACGAUCUGAGCGCUGUCUCAGAGAGAGACUCGGUGAAAUAGACUUGUCCGUGAAGAUGCGGACUACUAACAUUUGGACAGAAAGACCCUAUGAAGCUUGACUGUAUUCUGGAAUGGAAUUCGGGCUUUUCUUGCGCAGUCUAGGUGGGAGGCGUUGAAGAUUUCCUUCCGGGGAAGUUGGAGCCAUCAGUGAGAGACCACUCUGGGAAGGCUAGAAUUCUAAUGGCGAUCCUUGAAUCAGGACGCUUGACAGUUUCAGAUGGGCAGUUUCUCUGGGGCGGAGACCUCCUAAAGGUAACGGAGGUGCGCAAUGGUUCCCUCAGUCUGGACGGAAAUCAGACAUUGAGUGUAAAGGCAAAAGGGAGCUUGACUGUGAGACCUACAAGUCAAACAGGGGCGAAAGCCGGCCUUAGUGAUCCGACGGUGCUGUGUGGAAAGGCCGUCGCUCAACGGAUAAAAGUUACUCUAAGGAUAACAGGCUAAUCUUCUCCAAGAGUUCACAUCGACGAGAAGGUUUGGCACCUCGAUGUCGGCUCAUCACAUCCUGGGGCUGUAGUAGGUCCCAAGGGUUGGGCUGUUCGCCCAUUAAAGUGGUACGUGAGCUGGGUUCAGAACGUCGCGAGACAGUUCGGUCCAUAUCCGAUGUUAGCGUUAGAAUAUUGAGGUCAGUCACUCAUAGUACGAGAGGACCUGUAGUGAUCAUGCCUAUGGUCUAUCAGUUCUUUUUCCAAAGGGAAACGCUGAGUAGCUACGCAUGGAGUGCAUAACCGCUGAAAGCAUCUAAGUGGGAAGGCCAGACCAAGAUGAGUAUUCUCCAUUAAGCCGCAGCAAGACAAGCUGUAGAUAGGUAUCAGGUGUACAAUCAGUAAUGGUUUGAGCCGAGAUAUACUAAAGGCAG